rnacentral:rRNA from 1 species
AUGGAUGGUGAAUGCAAGGUGCAUUGGAUCGCUUGGGAGAAGAUGUGUGCUGCCAAAAAAGAUGGUGGGCUUGGCUUCCGUGACCCGGAGGCGUUCAACAAAGCUCUCCUAGCAAAAUAGGCUUGGAGAAUCCUUCAAGUUCUUGGAUCUCUUUGUGCUCGAGUUCUGAAAGCUCGAUAUUUUCAGGAAGACUCGAUCCUUUCGGCAACUUGUCCAUCGGCGGGCUCGUUCACGUUCCGUAGCAUUCUCCAUGGCAGAGAC